CCUACGCGAGGCAGCAGUGGGGGAUAUUGCACAAUGGGGGGAACCCUGAUGCAGCGACGCCGCGUGGGUGAAGGAGUGCUUCUGCAUGUAAAGCCCUAUCGGCAGGGAAGAAGCAAGACGGUACCUGACUAAGACGCCCCGGCUAACUACGUGCCAGCAGCCGCGGUCAUACGUAGGGGGCGAGCGUUAUCCGGAUUCACUGGGUGUAAAGGGAGCGUAGACGGCCAGGAAAGCCAGGGGUGAAAGCCCGGGGCCCAACCCCGGGACUGCCCUUGGAACUGCAUGGCUGGAGUGCGGGAGGGGCAGGCGGAAGUCCUGGUGUAGCGGUGAAAUGCGUAGAUAUCAGGAGGAACACCGGCGGAGAAGGCGGCCUGCUGGACCGCGACUGACGUUGAGGCUCGAAAGCGUGGGGAGCGAACAGGAUUAGAUACCCUAGUAGUC
rnacentral:rRNA from 1 species